GGAGAAAGGCUCGGCUGGAGGCAUGUUGGACCUUUGCAUGUGAAGGAGUUUUUAAUGUUCUUUGUGAGAAAGUUACCCCCUUUUCCUGGUUUCUGGGUACUUUUAUCAUGAACAGAUGCUUUUUCUUCAACUAAAAUGAUUUUUGGGGGAUGAUAUUGAUUUUUUUUUUUUCUUGACCGUUGAACCAGUCUUGCAUACCUGAGGGAAAAAAAAUCCCACUUGCUCAUAUUAUAAAAUUCUCUUUAUACAUUGUUGUAUUCAAUUUGCUAAUAUAUUUGAGAAGUCUGUGUUUAAAUUCAUGAAAGAUAUUGGCCUGUAGUUUUCUAUUUUUGAAUUGUUUCUGUCUGACUUAGGCAUCAAGGUAAUACGGGACUCAUAAAAUGAGCUGGCAGGUAAGGCUGGCAUGUGGAGGUGGAGGUCUGGAAGAAAUGUCAUUACUACUUUCUGCUCAUCCAAGCUGCAGUUCUGGUGGCUCUCUGAGCUGAAGACUUCUAGACCAAGGUCAUCCCAGGCUUCCUUCCAGGCCCAGGGAUGGUGAACUGCCAUCCCCCAGCCUUCUAACUUGGGGGAAGCUGUGAGAAUACUGGACUCUUCCAGGG
ensembl:lncRNA